rnacentral:misc_RNA from 1 species
UUGCAGUCUGCACAGGAAAUAGUGGCUGCUGAGCAUAGCCCAAUGGGGCAGGAGGAGGAAUUGAAACGGCUGAAUUUGGGGGGAACCAAGGUUGGGGACGAGGUGGAACUGGCCAGGCAGUAGGCUGUGCUUGUCCAGUUGAAGGAUAAAUAGGUUGCAUUGCAGCUAAACCUGGCUGAGGAGGGUAUACAAUACCCAGUGAUCCGGGCACCACACCUCCAACCAUCUGAGUUGAUGGCAUCUCCACUUUGGCCACCUUCGACAAGGACUCUUCCUCCUCCUCUCCAUAGUGUGCUGCCAAGACAUCCGGAGGAAUUCCUUGCAUUCCGUAUAUUUCGAUAUCUGUUGCUUCUCUGCCUGGUUUUGCAUUAGGAACUUUGGUGACUGACUCUUUGUG